rnacentral:snRNA from 1 species
AUCUUUCACCUUUUGGCUAAAAUAAAGUGUAAUAUUUGUUAUUAUCAGUUUAGUAUUUGAUAUAUAGACUAUAUGUUCACUUUGAUAUUAAAUUUAUUUUUAUGGGUUUUUUUCUGGUGGGAGUCCACUACACUGGCUAGGGCUAGGCAUUC